GCUCACAUAGUCACAAAGCCCGACAGGCUUGCCCGCAGAAUCAGCCGAGCUUCCCUGUUGAUGUGCCCUCUUGCUCCUUUCUGCUCAGGCACCAGGGACUUCUCACCCACAUGCUGUAGCAGACACUUACCUCGGGUCUGCGCCGGUUUACAACUCCAGGAACCGCCAGUCUGUGAGAGUUCCUGUUAUCCAACUUCAACGCUAGGGUUAAGUGCGCCGGCCUUUAUCCAUUAGAAAGCCUACGAUGGCUACAGAGGCGAAGACCCCGUUGGCUGAACAUCCACUGAUGAGUCCCAGAUCCCUUAGAGGCCGAUGGAGGACGGCACCGAAAACUCAGGGGCCUGGUCAGCGAAAUCCUCAGAGGGUCCCGGGGCAGAGCGUCUUGCUUAGCAUAUCCAGAGUCCGUCUCUUCUCCAGAGGGACUCCCUUCAGCCAGGGCCACCGGGAGAAGGGACUGCAGACAGCGAGAAGUCCAAGGGCUCAGCUGAAGCCUGAAAAGAAGUUAGGGCACAGCCCAAGGAGCCACGGGCACGGCAGACCACGGAAAGAACUGAUGAUCCCAGGGAUCGUGGAUUUCCAGCUGAUCCAAGCGGCGCUGAGGACCCCCAAGCCCCAAAGCCCUGGGGCCUACCGCUUUGGCCGCCUCAGCCACCACUCCUUCUUCUCCCGGCACCACCCCCACCCACAACACGUGACCCACAUCCAAGAUUUCACCGGGAAGCCCGUCUGUGUCGUCAGAGACAAGUUCUCUCUGGCCCCCUUGCCUCAAGCCACACUCUUAUCCCGCUGUCUGAUGGCGAUGCCCACCAUCCCUGUCCCCAUCGGAGACCCGCAGUCCAAUCGGGACCCCUGGCUUCCUUAUGGACACGGGGCAGAAGGCUGGGGAGGUGAGCAGGCUCUUCCCACCCCCCACAGCCCUCCCAGUGCCGGGUGCCGCAGGGAGGGCAAAGAAAAGGACCCCGGGUAUCAGCUGGCAACGUCUUGUCCCCUCGUCCCAGAGGCCUGGAAGAAGGAACUGAAGAACCUGGCUUCUCGGGUGGCCGUCUUCACCGAGAACGAGCUGAAGAGCAAAGAGAAGGAGGAGCCUCCGCGGGAGCAGGGAGCAAAAUACUCAGCUGAGACCGGCAGGCUCAUCCCCACUGGCACCAGAGCCAUUGGCCACCGUCACUCCCACCAGGACCCACGGAUUUAUCCCUCUGGUAAAGAUGGAGGAGUCCAGACCUUCAAGCUGCCGGAUCAGGAGCUGCUGGACUGCAGGGGCUCCACCUCCCACCGCAGGCCCCAACUCCGGCCGACCAUAGGCACAGCCGCCCCCUUAGCCCAUCUGACACAGAGCUGGAUCUUCCCCCGAUGACCCGUGACUGGAGAACACGGGGGAAAGAGGGCCCCGAAGUGGCAAAGGUGCCAGAGGCUGAGGAACCGGCUGACAGCGAAGUGUGCACGCUGCUCCGCGGGAUGGAGCCCCACGCUGGGCGAUCUGCGGCAUCAGCCAGCCCUGGCCCUCAGCCCGCCCAUUGGGAUCACCCCACCUCUUUGCUGGCAUCUCCAGACCCUGGGAACUCCAGGGCGGGGAGGCUUGUGUGGUCCCUGAAACCCCCACACCAAGGAUUCGAUCCUGGAGCUCCUCUGCCAAAUCCUGCAGACAGACUCCUUGAGCGCUAUCCAGUUCUGGCUAUUAUACGCUCCCCCGAAGGAGAAAGAUUUGGCCCUGGGGCUCCUGCAGACAGCGGUGGCGCAGCUCCUUCCUCAGCC